rnacentral:rRNA from 1 species
GACGUGGGAUGCAAGCGUUAUCCGGAAUCACUGGGCGUAAAGCGUCUGUAGGUGGUGAGGCAAGUCACUGGUGCAAAACUCUGGCUCAACCGGAGGAAAGCCAGUGAAACUGCAUGACUAGAGGGUGGGAGAGGUAGAAGGAAUUCCCUGAGUAGCGGUGAAAUGCGUAGAUACCGGGAAGAACCCCGGAGGCGAAAGCGUUCUACUGGAACACAACUGACACUGAGAGACGAAAGCUAGGGGAGCGAAUGGG